GGGGAAUGAUAGUGUAUUCCUCUCACUUGACACUGAAAAAGCAUUUGCUCUACCUCUACGCUGUCUUAAAGAAGUUUGAAUUCCCACAAAUGUUCAUGGUGGUGGUCGGUGCCUUAUACAGUAACCCAGAAGCAGAGGUGAUCAACAGCGGGUUUGCCUCGGAGCUAUUCCUGAUCUUAAAUGGAUCCAGACAGGGGUGCCCGCUAUAACCCCUGCUGUACGUGCUGG